rnacentral:rRNA from 1 species
UACGUAGGGUGCAAGCGUUGUUCGGAAUCAUUGGGCGUAAAGCGCACGUAGGCGGCCUGCUAAGUCGGAUGUGAAAGCCCCGGGCUCAACCCGGGAAGUGCAUUCGAAACUGGCGAGCUUGAAUGUCGGAGAGGGCAGUGGAAUUCCGAGUGUAGAGGUGAAAUUCGUAGAUAUUCGGAGGAACACCAGUGGCGAAGGCGACUGCCUGGACGAACAUUGACGCUGAGGUGCGAAAGCGUGGGGAGCAAACAGG